AUGAAUCAUUCCAUGAAAAUAUUUUAAGUGAUAUAAUGAUAUAUAUUUUGUUUUAUUCCAUGCUUGAAGAUCAAUCAAGUUAUCAAUUAAUUGGUUAUUCUCAAUGAUAUGUCAUGACUUUUCCCAGCUUAGCAUCAUAAACUAUAGAGAUUUGAUCCCUAGACUUAUGUUUGGUGCUCACACAUUAUUUAGUAAUGGUAAUCUCCUAUUUGCUUUGCUAUCUUCAACACUGAGCAGUUAUAUUUGUCAGUGGAGUGCUAUAGCCUGUCUAUUUCUACUGCUUAAAUUUAUUCCAGUAUCUUUCCUUCCUUUUUUGAUCAGCAACUACAACUGUGAACUUAUGAAAUCACCAAAGGUGAGAAUCAAGAUAGGAGAAAGGGAGGUAAAAUUUAGACUAAAAGCAGCUCAACUUUCAAUAUGAAUAACUACACUAGGCAUCUGUUGGAUAAACAAAUGAAUGGAUAGAUUGGUGAACAUUAUUGCCGACAACCACUAAUACACAAAACACAAAUGUGCUCUCUUAAUACGUGAUGCUGCUUCCUUUGCUUCAAUGGGAAAUGACUCUUAUUUUUGUGCAAGAACUCCAGUAUCCACACGAUGCUUGGUGAGAAAUACAUCAUUUAAAGUAAUGAAGGAGAAUUUCAAGAAGGAUCAGGAGGAAAACAAACUAUUUCAGCAAAAAAGUUUUAACUUGCAAUUUAAGGUGAUCAGCUAACAGGAACUUGCUUUAAAGGAAGGAUACUGCUCUGCAUAUGUUUUCGUCAUUUGCAAAAAGCUAAAGAAUCUGCUAAAGCCAAGCGGUUUGGUCUUGGCAGCAUGCAAUCUCUCUAUAGCAUGCUGUGCUCAGUUAUGUUCAGUGACUAAAAGCAAUAACAUUUUGAUUCUAGACUAAUAUGUCUAGCUCUGCAAUUGAUUAUAAGCCACUUUAUGAGACAGUCUGAAAUCCUUCCUGUGUCUACUAGUCUUGAUGAGCUCCUUAGCAAAAAAAAAAAAAAAAAUUAGCACUUUUGAAGCUUUCUUCCCCCUAUUUUCCUAAUGCCAAGACUUUCUAAAUAAACCCUCUGUAUUCUCUCCCCCAGCAUGAUUCACAGUGGGGUUGCAAUUCCGAGUUGCUUGUGUUUAAUUUGAGUUUAGGUGUUCAGGUGCUUAUGUGGUUCUCAGCAAUAUCUUCUCAUUUGUACUUGCUUGACCUGACUUGCUUCCAUUUUUAUUUCCCUAAAGCUCAGAGGUAUGAUAUAAAUGUCAAUAAAAAUUAAUCUGUGGCCAGUACUAACCCCAAAGGACCUUCUCUAUCUUAAUAGCCCAGAAAGCAAUUUUCUUUAGCAACUAAUUUGUAACUAUUUAUUAACUACAUAUUAAUAUUAUUCUGGACGAAGACAGUUCCUUUUGAAUUUGAGUUGCUGAAAAAAUCAAAUGUUAGGGGAUGGGUAAUAUUAGUGUACUUGAAUGAUUGCUGUUAUGUCAAAUACUACUCUUUAUAGUUGAAAAUGUUUUUCCUCUAGAGUAUUUUAGCUUGAUCAGUGGUGUUGAAUUGACUGAUCCAGUGGCAGAGCUCCUGUGUUUUUCAAAUAUCAGCUGCUGCACAUAGUGACAGCAUCAGCUCAUGCCACCUCGGCUUGCCAAUAUAACUCAAUGUAUCUUAAAUGGAAACAGCAGUUAACGCUGAUUCAAUCUAAGGCGCUCUUCUGAGACUGUCAAUAAAGGAGUCGGUAGGUGCUAAAUGUCACCUUGGUUUAGGAUUGAGGACAGCUGCUCUCUCUGAAGGAGAUGCAGAUCAACACAUUUGCCCCAGGUCAUGGAGCAGAUAUAUUAAAUUCAAUUCACUUUGGGCAUAUUCAUACAUUAUUAAUUAUAAGUAAAAGAAUAUAGUCUAUUCUAAUUUUGAAAAGGAUGAUAAUCAAUUCAAAUUUCAAAGUAAGUAAAGGCUUAAGGAAAGGAUACAGUCAUGGCUAACACUGAAAGAAGAGUUUAAAUGAUCUGGCUCCUGGAGAUAUGAGACAAGUAAUUUUAGCCUCUUUGGACAACCAUCCAAGUAAGAGUAAAGAACAUGAAAAAAAAAAGAAGGUGGAGAAGUAUACACUGAUAUAGUUACCCCUGCCAGGGCUAUGCAAACAAAAUGGACACUGUGGCCAAGGCUGAAGUGUUAGAUAGGAGUCAGUCUAAGAAGUUAUUGGAGCUUGUAAGUCACGAGUUCAGCUAUGCAUUUUGGCGACAGUGGUGAUAGUCAGAGGAAGGAGUGACAAUUUGCACACCACUGGUGCUUUUCAGGGUGAAGGGAGAAACAAUGCAACACUGACAGAAAACUUACAAAUUGCCAAGGGCCAGUUCUUUCUCCUUUUUCCUCCCUAGACCUCAGGCUGAUUUUCUUUUGCUCUUACUUUGGUGAGGGCAGGAAUUUAACCUCUAUGCUGCCAGUGGGCGUGUCCCCUGAUUGGCUUUUUUUAUGAGCUAUCUGGCUGUUCUUUCUCCUUGCUUGACUGCCUUUGGUGGUAGCCUACCGUAUGUUUCUCAGGUACAGAAUCACUAUCUACUGUGUUCAGCCUCAUACGUGGCACUCAGUAUACAUUCAAAAGAAGAAUACUUUCUCCCCUGUAACUCCAAAUUCCUCUCAUAAGGUCCCCUUGGCCCGAGUCUCAGAUUCCAUUUAGGAAUGAUCCUGCACACCUGAAGCACUUAUAACAUGUGUGAAGAUUUUAUUUGUGCCCUCAGGUACUCAAUUACAUUUAUUGAAACAUUUUUUCAAACCAUGGUGUGGCCUGAGACUUGGGAUCAAAAGCACAGAGUUGCGGAUAAAGAACGUCCAAAAUGCCAGAACUAUGUGGUAUCUGUUGCAGUAAUGGUGUGAAAGAGCCAGAAACAAGAGAAAGGGCACUUCCUUAGAUAAUAAAAACAUUAAUCUGGGUACAACUCACCUUCCAGCAGAGCAGAGGAACAGAAGAGUGGGCCAUGAUAAGAACUGAUGAAAUAUUUCACAUGCUGUCAAUUAGUUCUAAAGAAAGGAAAUUUAACAAUUUGCCUGUCUUCUUCACAAGAAAGCUCUGGAGGUGGGGGGUGGGGGGUGGGGCAGACACUAAAAACAAAACAGCAAAAAUCCCAAGAGGUUAAUUUUGUCAAUGACUAAAGAGUAAAUAUUUCUACUAUAUUGAAAAUUCUGAAAAUAAAUACUGGGUAUUUUGCCUGGGGUUCUAAAGAAAUUAAAGCAAAUUUAAUGGAAGUUCAAAACUGAAUUUAAUAAAAAAUAAAACGUUUCCCUGCUUUAUCCAAGAUUUUCUUCAGUUUUUUUGAGUAAACAUGUCAGUCAAAAAGGGGGCUUGCUGAAUAUUACCUCAGACAGACAUUACUAUCGUCUCUAAUAUUAAGUCUAAUCAUACAAGGGUAUAUACAAAUGCAGUGGAAGAGUUGAGUAGUUUUAAGGUGGGUUUAAGAGCAACACUUUUAACAGUUGACUAAUCUCAAUGCAACCUCAUUUCCCUCUUGCUCUGUUUCCUAGCACAUUAUUAAAUAACACUUUUAGUUUUAGUUUUGUUUAUUUUCUUGAAAAUUCAUCUAGCCUACAGUUACUCUUUACGUCAAGAGCAAGACAGAAUUGCAAUGUAAUAGGGACUCAGGUAGGUCAAUAAACAUGUAAUAGGGUUCCAACUUAGCAACUAGCUAGUUAUAAGGUCUUAGAUCAGUCACUUUGCUUCUGUGGGCUUCACUUUGCUCAUUCAUAAAAGGUAGGAUAAGGACUAUGUCAAUGUUUUCAAGCAUUUAACCAACAAAUGUCUAAUGGUGUAAGAGAUUCAGUGAUUUUGGAGGGGAGGAGAAGGAAAAGGAUCAGACCAAAAAUAAACGAAUAAGAGACAAAUUCUUCGAUAUCCUCAUUUAAAAUUUACAUUCCUCUUCACAAUAUAUUGGUGUAUAAAAAUAAUGUUCCACAUUGCCUCUAUAAAUAAAGAACUGCAAUCUAUCUGUCAUGUAUUUUUUUCAACACUGAACAGGUAAAUUUUAGAAAAUUGUGCUGGAUGAAACUGUUACCAAAGAUCAGGGUCAAUGUUCAGGCAAAUUCUCUGCUCUCCUUUGUAUUACAGUUUUCCUAGAACCUUGGUUUACAUAAACACAUGGAUACAAGUGGUAAGAGUACAUUUUUAAAAACUGCUUUGUAAACGAUGACACUGAGGAGAGAUGACCUGAAUAUAUGGAGAAAAUGAAUGGUAUAACAUUUUCAGAACUACUGUUGUUGGCAAUUUUAAGAAGCAGUUUCUUAAUGAGCAGCAAGGUUGCUUUUGUCAUAUAGUGGACACAAAAUGUCUCUAAUUGAGCAUCUUACACCUUUUAAUGCUCCUUUUACUGAGUACUUCAUCCAAAGACUCUUUGUUCAGUAUGGAGAGAUGGCUAAUAUCAUACUUCCUUAUUUUAACAUCAUUACUAAUUCUAAUCACAUGUAAAUGGCUGGUGUAUAACUUAUAAUACCCAUGACCUCUUUACCAAGAUCAAGCUUCAUAUCCAUCACUGUCUUUUUCAUUGUCACAAUUUUGGCUUCAAGUUGUUGAUUUAGUCGUGGUUGGCUUGACAAAAUAUUUACUAAAUGAGCCAAUUUUUUCAUGGACUAUAAAUUUAUUUAUUGAUUCAGAGUUAUAAAUACAUAUAAUCUUCCCUUCUCCCAUAAAAAUAAUAAAUCAAUGGUGAGUUGAAGGACUAUUUACAGUAUAUUUCUCUUCCUUGGUAAUGUAUAUCUGUGAACUUACAAUUUUAAUUAUCACAUUAAGAUCUUCGAAAGAUAGUCAAGUGGAUGCUCUUUUGACACAUUCUCUCUGGUGAGGAUACAUUGCUUGUUCAGGAAUUCAGGGUGUGGACUGGAUACCACUCCCAGAAUUUUCAUUCUGAUAAAACUUUACCUAUCUAAAACAAAUACAUAGACAAAGAGAACAGAUUAAUGGUCACCAGAGGGAAGGGGGGUUGGAGGGUGGG